rnacentral:rRNA from 1 species
UGGCGAACGGGUGAGUAAUACAUCGGAACGUGUCCGCUCGUGGUGGACAACCAGCCGAAAGGUUGGCUAAUACCGCAUGAGUUCUACGGAAGAAAGAGGGGGACCCGCAAGGGCCUCUCGCGAGCGGAGCGGCCGAUGACUGAUUAGCCGGUUGGUGAGGUAACGGCUCACCAAAGCAACGAUCAGUAGCUGGUCUGAGAGGACGACCAGCCACACUGGGACUGAGACACGGCCCAGACUCCUACGGGAGGCAGCAG